CCUACGGGAGGCUGCAGUGAGGAAUAUUGGUCAAUGGACGAGAGUCUGAACCAGCCAAGUAGCGUGAGGGAUGAAGGUUCUAUGGAUUGUAAACCUCUUUUAUACGGGAAUAAAGUGUUGCACGUGUCCUGUUUUGUAUGUACCGUAUGAAUAAGGAUCGGCUAAUUCCGUGCCAGCAGCCGCGGUAAUACGGAGGCUCCGUGCGUUAUCCGGAUUUAUUGGGUUUAAAGGGCGCGUAGGCGGCGUUUUAAGCGAGCGGUGAACGUUUGUGGCUCAACCAUGACAUUGCGGUUGAAACUGGGAGACUUGAGUGUGUGUGAGGCAGGCGGAAUGCGUGGUGUAGCGGUGAAAUGCUUAGAUAUCACGAAGAACCCCGAUUGCGAAGGCAGCCUGCCGAGCCAUGACUGACGCUGAGGCACGAAAGCGUGGGGAUCGAACAGGAUUAGAUACCCGUGUAGUC
rnacentral:rRNA from 1 species